rnacentral:rRNA from 1 species
AACGAACGCUGGCGGCAUGCCUAACACAUGCAAGUCGAACGAGACCUUCGGGUCUAGUGGCGCACGGGUGCGUAACGCGUGGGAACCUGCCCUUAGGUUCGGAAUAACUCCCCGAAAGGGGUGCUAAUACCGGAUAAUGUCUUCGGACCAAAGAUUUAUCGCCUUUGGAUGGGCCCGCGUUGGAUUAGCUAGUUGGUAGGGUAAAAGCCUACCAAGGCGACGAUCCAUAGCUGGUCUGAGAGGAUGAUCAGCCACACUGGGACUGAGACACGGCCCAGACUCCUACGGGAGGCAGCAGUGGGGAAUAUUGCACGAUGGGCGAAAGCCUGAUCCAGCAAUGCCGCGUGAGUGAUGAAGGCCUUAGGGUUGUAAAGCUCUUUUACCCGGGAUGAUAAUGACAGUACCGGGAGAAUAAGCUCCGGCUAACUCCGUG